rnacentral:rRNA from 1 species
UACGUAGGGUGCAAGCGUUGUCCGGAAUUAUUGGGCGUAAAGAGCUCGUAGGCGGUUUGUCGCGUCUGCUGUGAAAACCGGAGGCUCAACCUCCGGCCUGCAGUGGGUACGGGCAAACUAGAGUGCGGUAGGGGAGAUUGGAAUUCCUGGUGUAGCGGUGGAAUGCGCAGAUAUCAGGAGGAACACCGAUGGCGAAGGCAGGUCUCUGGGCAUUAACUGACGCUGAGGAGCGAAAGCAUGGGGAGCGAACAGG